CCAAUAGCGUAUAUUAAAGUUGUUGUGGUUAAAAAGCUCGUAGUUGAACCUUGGGCCUGGCUGGCCGGUCCGCCUCACCGCGUGUACUGGUCCGGCCGGGCCUUUCCCUCUGUGGAACCCCAUGCCCUUCACUGGGCGUGGCGGGGAAACAGGACUUUUACUUUGAAAAAAUUAGAGUGCUCCAGGCAGGCCUAUGCUCGAAUACAUUAGCAUGGAAUAAUAUAAUAGGACGUGCGGUUCUAUUUUGUUGGUUUCUAGGACCGCCGUAAUGAUUAAUAGGGACAGUCGGGGGCAUCAGUAUUCAAUUGUCAGAGGUGAAAUUCUUGGAUUUAUUGAAGACUAACUACUGCGAAAGCAUUUGCCAAGGAUGUUUUCAUUAAUCAGGAACGAAAGUUAGGGGAUCGAAGACGAUCAGAUACCGUCGUAGUCUUAACCAUAAACUAUGCCGACUAGGGAUCGGACGAUGUUACUUAUUGACUCGUUCGGCACCUUACG
rnacentral:misc_RNA from 1 species